GUCCACGCCCUAAACGAUGAUUACUCGAUGUGUGCGAUACACUGUACGCGUCUGAGCGAAAGCAUUAAGUAAUCCACCUGGGGAGUACGAUCGCAAGAUUGAAACUCAAAGGAAUUGACGGGGGCCCGCACAAGCGGAGGAGCAUGUGGUUUAAUUCGAUGAUACGCGAGGAACCUUACCUGGGCUUGAAAGUUAGUGAAGCAAGCAGAAACGUUUGCGUCAGCAAUGACACGAAACUAGGUGCUGCAUGGCUGUCGU
rnacentral:rRNA from 1 species